rnacentral:rRNA from 1 species
UUGGGCGUAAGGGCUCGCAGGCGGUUUCUUAAGUCUGAUGUGAAAGCCCCCGGCUCAACCGGGGAGGGUCAUUGGAAACUGGGGAACUUGAGUGCAGAAGAGGAGAGUGGAAUUCCACGUGUAGCGGUGAAAUGCGUAGAGAUGUGGAGGAACACCAGUGGCGAAGGCGACUCUCUGGUCUGUAACUGACGCUGAGGAGCGAAAGCGUGGGGAGCGAACAGGAUUAGAUACCCUGGUAGUCCACGCCGUAAACGAUGAGUGCUAAGUGUUAGGGGGUUUCCGCCCCUUAGUGCUGCAGCUAACGCAUUAAGCACUCCGCCUGGGGAGUACGGUCGCAAGACUGAAACUCAAAGGAAUUGACGGGGGCCCGCACAAGCGGUGGAGCAUGUGGUUUAAUUCGAAGCAACGCGAAGAACCUUACCAGGUCUUGACAUCCUCUGACAAUCCUAGAGAUAGGACGUCCCCUUCGGGGGCAGAGUGACAGGUGGUGCAUGGUUGUCGUCAGCUCGUGUCGUGAGAUGUUGGGUUAAGUCCCGCAACGAGCGCAACCCUUGAUCUUAGUUGCCAGCAUUCAGUUGGGCACUCUAAGGUGACUGCCGGUGACAAACCGGAGGAAGGUGGGGAUGACGUCAAAUCAUCAUGCCCCUUAUGACCUGGGCUACACACGUGCUACAAUGGACAGAACAAAGGGCAGCGAAACCGCGAGGUUAAGCAAUCCCACAAAUCUGUUCUCAGUUCGGAUCGCAGUCUGCAACUCGACUGC